rnacentral:rRNA from 1 species
UACGUAGGGACCAAGCGUUGUCCGGAAUCAUUGGGCGUAAAGAGCGUGUAGGCGGCUUGUUAAGUCUUGCGUGAAAUCUCGGGGCUCAACCCCGAGCGGUCGUGAGAAACUGGCAGGCUAGAGUGCGGGAGAGGAGAGUGGAAUUCCUGGUGUAGCGGUGAAAUGCGCAGAUAUCAGGAAGAACACCCGUGGCGAAGGCGGCUCUCUGGAACGCAACUGACGCUGAGGCACGAAAGCGUGGGGAGCAAACAGG